UACGGGAGGCAGCAGUGGGGAAUAUUGCACAAUGGGCGCAAGCCUGAUGCAGCCAUGCCGCGUGUAUGAAGAAGGCCUUCGGGUUGUAAAGUACUUUCAGUCGUGAGGAAGGUGUUAAGGUUAAUAACCUUAGCAAUUGACGUUAGCGACAGAAGAAGCACCGGCUAACUCCGCGCCAGCAGCCGCGGUAAUACGGAGGGUGCGAGCGUUAAUCGGAAUUACUGGGCGUAAAGGGCACGCAGGCGGUUAAUUAAGUUGGAUGUGAAAUCCCCGGGCUUAACCUGGGAAUGGCAUUCAAGACUGGUUAGCUAGAGUCUUGUAGAGGGGGUAGAAUUCCAUGUGUAGCGGUGAAAUGCGUAGAGAUGUGGAGGAAUACCGGUGGCGAAGGCGGCCCCUGGACAAAGACUGACGCUCAUGUGCGAAAGCGUGGGGAGCAAACAGGGAUUAGAUACC
rnacentral:rRNA from 1 species